rnacentral:lncRNA from 1 species
AAUGGCAGACUCAUCCAAAGAUGCAUCAUGGUGAACUGGAAGGAACGACCGUCAAUGCAACAUGUUUUGGGUGUUCUUAUAACUAUAUUGCAUGUAGAUAUUGGUAUUAAUUUUUAGGUUUUGGAGUAUAUUAUUGAAAACGUUGAGGGUUUAUUUGAGAUUGAAGAUACUUAUAACAAAGAAGCAUGUUCUAACGUUUAUAAAUGAUUUUUCUUGGACAAGAAAAGACCCCACAAUCUCUUGAGAACAGACUUGCCCUUUCGCAAGUGUCUCAUACCCCGUC